AGAUUCGUCGAGCUCCUAAGCAGAUCUAGUACUAGUAGUGUACUACACAGAUCGCUCCAAAUGAACCACCUGGGGAAUAUUUCAACUUUCAGAUCGCUAUUGCUACUUGUGGGAUUCGUGCUAUUAACGAAUAAAAGCUUCCAACAGGACUUGGAGAACUCAGGACUUGAUGAUGAAGCACAAAACACAGUCAAUAAAAAUGAGGCCAGUAUUCCAGAGGAGAAUGUAGAAGUUGACCGACGGAGGAGACAGUUUUUCAGACUGAAAAGACAAUCACAUCGCCCGUCUAGAGGAAAUACUAAAUGGAAUUUUGACGGCUAUUAUGGAAGUGAGACGAAAAGGGGCCAGGAAAAGAAGGACACGGAAGAGAAAGAUACCAAGAACACAGGUGCCAACAGAAUUAGUCACUCCUGGAGAGCCAUGACACGUGCGUAGUGACUAGUGUGAAGACUGAUAUGGACUAUGAUUUUAACCCGGGCCGACUUUGUUUAUUGCCUAGAG